rnacentral:rRNA from 1 species
UACAGAGGGUGCGAGCGUUAAUCGGAAUUACUGGGCGUAAAGCGCGCGUAGGCGGCUUUGCAAGUCGGGUGUGAAAUCCCCAGGCUUAACCUGGGAACUGCAUUCGAGACUGCAUUGCUAGAGUAUGGGAGAGGGAAGUGGAAUUUCCGGUGUAGCGGUGAAAUGCGUAGAUAUCGUAAGGAAGACCAGUGGCGAAAGCGAAUCUCUGGGCAGCAGCCGACGCUGAGGCACGAAGGCCAGGGGAGCAAACGGG